CUCUGAUGAAUGAAGACACUUGGUAGACAGCUUGAGCUUCUUGGCAGAUUUUCAAACCAGCUGACUAGGAAGCUGCCAGUGAUUGGGCCUACCUAGGUCUGACCUCACUCUGAGGAACUGAAAAUCUGGGGAGGGAUCAGUGACUGAAGAGCAUGCUGUACUGUGAAGGAAAUAUACAGAGUUGAGCAAUGUU